rnacentral:rRNA from 1 species
GAUUAGAUACCCUGGUAGUCCACGCCGUAAACGAUGUCGACUUGGAGGUUGUUCCCUUGAGGAGUGGCUUCCGGAGCUAACGCGUUAAGUCGACCGCCUGGGGAGUACGGCCGCAAGGUUAAAACUCAAAUGAAUUGACGGGGGCCCGCACAAGCGGUGGAGCAUGUGGUUUAAUUCGAUGCAACGCGAAGAACCUUACCUACUCUUGACAUCCACGGAAUUCGGCAGAGAUGCCUUAGUGCCUUCGGGAACCGUGAGACAGGUGCUGCAUGGCUGUCGUCAGCUCGUGUUGUGAAAUGUUGGGUUAAGUCCCGCAACGAGCGCAACCCUUAUCCUUUGUUGCCAGCGAUUCGGUCGGGAACUCAAAGGAGACUGCCGGUGAUAAACCGGAGGAAGGUGGGGAUGACGUCAAGUCAUCAUGGCCCUUACGAGUAGGGCUACACACGUGCUACAAUGGCGCAUACAAAGAGAAGCGACCUCGCGAGAGCAAGCGGACCUCAUAAAGUGCGUCGUAGUCCGGAUCGGAGUCUGCAACUCGACUCCGUGAAGUCGGAAUCGCUAGUAAUCGUGGAUCAGAAUGCCACGGUGAAUACGUUCCCGGGCCUUGUACACAUCGCCCGCCACACCAUGGGAGUGGGUUGCAAAAGAAGUAGGUAGCUUAACCUUCGGGAGGGCGCUUACCACUUUGUGAUUCAUGACUGGGGUGAAGUCGUAACAAGG